rnacentral:rRNA from 1 species
AGUAAUACAAGGCAGACGGCUCAGUAACACGUAGUCAACCUACCCUAUGGACAAGAAUAAUCUCGGGAAACUGGGCAUAAUUCUUGAUAGAUCAUAAUGCCUGGAAUGGUUUAUGGUUAAAAUGAUUCGUCGCCAUAGGAUGGGACUGCGGCCUAUCAGCUUGUUGGUGAGGUAAUGGCCCACCAAGGCGAUUACAGGUACGGGCUCUGAGAGGAGAAGCCCGGAGAUGGGUACUGAGACACGGACCCAGGCCCUAUGGGGCGCAGCAGGCGAGAAAACUUUGCAAUGUGCGAAAGCACGACAAGGUUAAUCCGAGUGAUUUCUGCUAAAGAAAUCUUUUGCCAGUCGUAAAACCGCUGGUGAAUAAGGGGUGGGCAAGCUCUGGUGUCAGCCGCCGCGGUAAAACCAGCACCUCAAGUGGUCAGGAUGAUUAUUGGGCCUAAAGCAUCCGUAGCCGGCUUUGUAAGUUUUCGGUUAAAUCCAUGUGCUCAACGCAUGGGCUGCCGAAAAUACUGCAUAGCUAGGGAGUGGGAGAGGUAGACGGUACUCAGUAGGAAGGGGUAAAAUCCUUUGAUCUAUUGAUGACC